AACGAACGCUGGCGGCAGGCCUAACACAUGCAAGUCGAACGGAUCCUUCGGGAUUAGUGGCGGACGGGUGAGUAACACGUGGGAACGUGCCCUUUGGUUCGGAACAACUCAGGGAAACUUGAGCUAAUACCGGAUGUGCCCUUCGGGGGAAAGAUUUAUCGCCAUUGGAGCGGCCCGCGUCUGAUUAGCUAGUUGGUGAGGUAAAGGCUCACCAAGGCGACGAUCAGUAGCUGGUCUGAGAGGAUGAUCAGCCACAUUGGGACUGAGACACGGCCCAAACUCCUACGGGAGGCAGCAGUGGGGAAUCUUGCGCAAUGGGCGAGAGCCUGACGCAGCCAUGCCGCGUGAAUGAUGAAGGUCUUAGGAUUGUAAAAUUCUUUCACCGGGGACGAUAAUGACGGUACCCGGAGAAGAAGCCCCGGCUAACUUCGUGCCAGCCGCCGCGGUAAUAC
rnacentral:rRNA from 1 species